UUACGGCCAUAUCUCGUUGAAACAACGGUUUCCACGCGAUCACCUAAGUUAAGCAACGUCGAGCCUGGCCAGUACCUAGUUGUGUGACCUCUUGGGAAUACCAGCUGCUGUAA